AGUGAACGCUGGCGGUAGGCCUAACACAUCCAAGUCGAACGGCAGCACAGUAAGAGCUUGCUCUUACGGGUGGCGAGUGGCGGACGGGUGAGGAAUACAUCGGAAUCUACUUUUUCGUGGGGGAUAACGUAGGGAAACUUACGCUAAUACCGCAUACGACCUACGGGUGAAAGCAGGGGAUCUUCGGACCUUGCGCGAUUGAAUGAGCCGAUGUCGGAUUAGCUAGUUGGCGGGGUAAAGGCCCACCAAGGCGACGAUCCGUAGCUGGUCUGAGAGGAUGAUCAGCCACACUGGAACUGAGACACGGUCCAGACUCCUACGGGAGGCAGCAGUGGGGAAUAUUGGACAAUGGGCGCAAGCCUGAUCCAGCCAUACCGCGUGGGUGAAGAAGGCCUUCGGGUUGUAAAGCCCUUUUGUUGGGAAAGAAAAGCAGCAGGUUAAUACCCCGCUGUUCUGACGGUACCCAAAGAAUAAGCACCGGCUAACUUCGUG
rnacentral:rRNA from 1 species